AUCGAUGAAGAACGCAGCUAGCUGCGAGAAUUAAUGUGAAUUGCAGACACAUUGAACAUCGACAUUUCGAACGCAUAUUGCGGAAGUGGGUUUUUCCCACUUCCAGGUUCUCUUGACGGCGUCAUUCAGUGAGAGCAUAUACCAUUGCCAAACGCAGCAUGCUUCGGCGUGACCAAAAGCUGAGUGGUUCGCACUGUUGUGCACGACAUGAACCCAGCUGAUCGUUACUGCCUGCUGUGUUUAUCGCUUUGGUGAUUUGGGUUGCUGCAGCAUUUGUUGUACCAGCCUUGAGUUCAGAGUUGUCAGGGACUUAUUGUCUGACAAAUUAUUGCAGCGUGACGAAGCAUCGUCUAGCAAGAGCAAACGUACUGCACUUUUGCUGUUAGCAUCGACAACCGUUCUUGGCAUCCAAGGCGGCGCAGAAGUGUUUGUACACGCAUUCCUCUUCUAGCCAAAGCAACAGAUCGCCUCUAAUCUUACGCGUCAAGUAGAGCCUGAACACUCGCUUAAUUUAAGCAUAUUAGUAAGCGAAGGAAAAGAAACUAACAAGGAUUUCCUUAGUAACGGCGAGUGAAA
rnacentral:rRNA from 1 species